GCUUCCUACUGGGACCCUAAAUUUAGGAAACUAGUGACUGCCUGUCCUGUACCUUUUUCUCCAUAGAUCUCUGCUGUAUGUAGUAUUGUUGGAAAUUGCAAAUUUCUAACAGUUUGUGGUUAAUUAGCUGAGUACAGUUCCUGGCAGGUAGCAGGCACUUGGUGGAUAGACCAACAGUUGUUCUUAUGUGUACUCCUCUCCUGUCUCUCAUCCACAAAGUAGACUAACUCUUGACCUGCUCAUGUCCCAAGAUCACCCCUUAGCUUGGGCAGAACAGGGAAACUAGGGAGGGCCUGCUGCAGCCCACCUGACCCCCCACUAUUUACACCUUUGCUACCAGGAAUCUAAUUAUUUGAGAUUCAGCACUUUGAGUUUUGAAGACUAUUUGGAAUUUAAGGAAAGUACAAAUGCUUCUGAGAGGAAAAAGACUAUGAACCAUGAUCAUGAUAAUUUCCACCCUGGAGUUUCUACACUCUGAUGUCUCAUCAAGGGCAUAAUGGUGGCCAGAGAGUUCUUUUUAAUAUUUCAAAACACCUAAUGGAAACUUCCCAUUUAUUCAAGAUAAGGCUAUAAAAAGUAACUAAAAUGUCAAGGUUCUCUGCUCUCGCUGAGAGUAUCUACUGACUUGGCAGUGUAGCUCUGGUUAUUCCUUGCUGGUUAGGUGCUAUGGUUGGUAGCUAUCUAUCUUUGAUAAAUUUAAGAGUGGAAGGGGAGAUAAUAAUUACCAACACAGUUUAUUUGGUUAACAGAAUCUUGCCAAAGGCAGUGUCCAUGUGGGGAAGUAGGAAAGGGGUCGUAGGGAGUGGAGCAGGUGAGGGCCCUGCACACUGUCUCACUCAUUCCCAGGAAUUUGUAGGCAACUGGGCCGAGGGCAGAAGGCAGAGGAGGGGUAUGAAGAUCAGCUUCUGCUACCCGUUUUAUCACUUUUCAGAGGGCUGGCCCAAGGGGCCAGUGUUGCUGUGAAAGGCGCCCAGCCCAGUGUGUCAACCCUCCCUGCAAUUCAGACCUUAUCACACAGCCUCAUGGCAGCAGGGAUAAAUGCUCCAACAAGGCAAAUGAAUCCAGAGAGAAUAGGAGCCUCAAACCACGAAAAAUGAUGGAGACUACGGCCUACUUUCUUGCCUUGUAAAAGUCACUUACAUUUUUCUGGGGUACCAAACUGCUCUGUGUGGGGAACAGAACUGUGAAUGGAGAUGUGUGAACCCUGUUGGGCAAACACAGGGUGCUGUGGUCUCCAGUGGUUCUAGCUUUUGAGCCCAGACCAGAGAAAGUGAAACUGGUGACUGUAUAGAAAACUUGGACCAACCAAGUUAGUCCAUUUACCUCUUUGGUGACUCAGGGGGUGGAAAUGGUUUGGGGGGUUUUGUUUUGUUUUGGAGGAGUGAUAUUUGGAAGCAGAAACUCUAGAGAAAGACAUCCUGACCUUCUGGGGCACUUAAACCUACCACCACAGACCUUGGUAGUUAGUUGUUUUCUGUUUGUUUUGGUAUUUUCUAUUUUUGUAUUUCCAACCAGAUUGUAAGGUUGCUGGCAUCCAUUUAUUUACCAGUAAGUCUCAAUUUUCUAAUCUUUAAAAUGAGCAUAAUGAUGCCUAUUUUGUAGGUUUGCUGUAUUAGGGGUUCACUGCUCAGUUUUGGUUUCACAUCCUUUUCCCCUUCCUGUACUCUCUCAGAAAGGAUCUCAUGUCCAAAGAACAGUCCUCUCCAAGUGAGGGAGAUGGCUGCUUUCUUAAAGAGCUUGGCAAACAUCUGAGAACUGUUCCCUCCUGUUUAAAGACCCCUUGUUUCCUUGCACUGAGCCCAGCCCAGACCAUGAGCCCAUUUGUUCAGCUGGGAUGAAGAUGCUGAUUUUACUGCCACAGAGAGACAAGUCCCACCCAGUUUUGCUUUUUACAUGGAAUGCAUGACAAAGCUGGAGGAAAUGAACAGGAAAGUUCACAGAGGGUUGUGGUCCAUACUUUCUUAUUCACAAAACAAAAGAAUAAAAGAAGCAGCAGGACAUGCCUUUGAGGUACAUUAACCCUGUCCAUGGGCUGUCCCUUGGUGUAACCAGUUAGAAUAGCUACUCCUCCAACAGGGAGACCUAGAAAUGGGAUGGAAAGAGGGAUGAAAGUGCCCUCAAUUAAUAGUAGAGGAGUAAACAAGAGGACUGAGGGAAGAAGUUGCUUCCCUAACAGGGAGGAUAUAGCCCCGGGCACACAGCCUAGCCCAUGGGAGGGCCUUCCCAAAGGGUAAUUGUUACUAUUAGUGAUGGCUUUGCUAUACUGAGUUGAUGUCCAUGCUGUAACCACAGAGCUCUGCUGAGAUGAAAUUCCCUUAGUGUGCUUUUGUGGACCCCUUUACUGAGAAUGGCCCACAGAAGCACACUGAGGAGGAAAUUUCAUCUCAGCAGAGCUCUGUGGUUAUAGCAUGGACGUCAACUCAGUGUGGCAAAGCCAUCACUAAUAAUAACCCUAAUAAUGUUAAUAAUGGCCCUCUUGGUCACCCUCAUUAAAACUAGAAUAAUUUCUGUCCCUCAUUUGCCCAUGUGUCUGGAAAACCAAUGGAUAUGCCUUCCCUAUUUAAAAUAUGACUAUUGAAAUUUGUGUGCUUUAAAAUUUACGGUGAAUUUCCUCAUAUGUCACUUGCACCUCAUAACAGCCUUAUCAAGCAUAGACGGUAUGAGUGUAAAGAUAAGGAAGCUGGUGUCGAAAUGGCUUGAGCACCAUGCCAAGUUACUACAGUGAGUAAAUCACCAAGGCAGGACAGAAGUCUUUGGACUACACAUCCCAUGCUCCUUUUUGUAAUCCACAAUGCUUCUUCUGCCUCCUGUCUGUAACCUGGUAACAAGACUGGUCACUUUUCUUGAUGAGAGGCAUCAUGUGUAGACCCUUCUGUUUUCUAGAGGAGGAAAAUGGCUUUCAGCUUGUGGUGAAGGUUCUCAGAAAAAUAGGAACCAAAUAUGUCUUCAAGCCCAGUACAGGUGCCAGAAGAGUUUGGCAAGUGAGUUUACCGCUGCUGAGUCAGGCCCUGGUCCCCUUCUCCCGGGAUUUGGAUCAAUGUUGCAAUGACUCUGGCAGCUCUGUGCAUUUCCCUUGGCCUCUAAGGCAUUCCAGUGAUGAUGAUGGCUUGUCAGGGUCAUGGGCCCAGUACAAAGCAAGGCUAUUUGUGGCUUAUCGAAAACAUAACUGGAGCCACCUGCAUGUGAGUCUGGCUGCUUGGCCUCUGGGGCCUGCAACUCAGCUGAAAUAAAAUGUUCAUAUAUCACUCUGUAUAGUACGUAUCAAAAGUCAUAUCUUUUUCUUUAAGUUUGCAAGUAAUUGGAAAAUCAAGUUGUCAACUCCCCUGCCAUGUUGGACGACACUACUCAGUUUCUUAUUCCAUCCUCUGGGCCUGGAACAUCCCUCUUCUCUCUUUGUUUCUGUAAAUCCUGCUUGCCUGCAAGACCCUACUUUCUCCAUGGAGUCUCCUUGCCAGAAUGCCUGUGAUCUGGUUGUUUGUUGCUCAAGCUGAUGCUUUAUUAAAUAUCCCCUUGCAGUGUUUCAUGAUUGCUUUAUGCACAGUUAUUCUGGCUGGAUUCUUUGGAGCCAGACACUGGAUCUGCCUUAUCUUUCCCCUUUCUGUAAGUGCCUGGGUGUGCUGAGCACAAGUGAAUGCUGACAGAUUCAUCUGAUGAAAAAGUGGAGAUCUGGGAAUCUGGAGAUGUGGUUUUGUUAUCCAGGAUGAAUCCCUUCACCUCUCUGGUUGCAGUCUUUAUCUGUAAAAUGAGAGUUGAACUGGAUGAUCUGUAGAGUUUAUGCCAAAUCCAAAAUUCUAGGAGUACUUAUAGAUUAAUCAUAGAGAUUCUCAUUGCUUUUACCUGUCUGUAUGCAUUCUCCAUAUUGCAACCUGUUAAGCUGUCUUUGUCUUAUCACCUGCACCUAUGAUUUGGCUGCAUGUAGCUUAAAAGGAAUAUUAUCUUCCCAUCUCAGAGACAAGUUACAGAGGAGAAUGAGGGAAUAGUGAGUAGUUUUAGAAGCAGAUAUCUUUCAGUCCUGGGUUCAAAUCACAGUCCUGUCAUUUACUAGUGUGAUCUUAAUCAAGUUACCUUAUUAAAUACUAGUUUUCUCAUCAGAAGUAUAGAGUUGAUAAUAUUGGUAUCAUAGGGUGAUUGAAGAAUAAGUGAGAUAAAGCAUGUGUGGUGUAUACACAAUGUAAGUGCUCAAUAAAUAGUGGUGGCAAUAAUAAUUGUAAUUGGGAAGCAAAAGAGUGUGUCUUCUUAUCCAUCGGUGAGCAUUUUCUGAUUUGUAAACUAUUGGUUGUAUUUUAAGACAAUGCGUUUAUCAUUUUAAUAAGCAGCGUAAUGAUUUGAAGAAAAUCAUUUUGGUUUUAAUAAGAACACUAACAGUACUAAUUAUGCACAUGAUAGCAUUUUAACAGAGCUCCAUAAUUUAUGGAAUUGGGAGAGACUUACAAAAACAUGGGUUGACUCUCUGGAGUCUCAGAUUUCUGGUGAGUGAUUCAAACGGGCUACUUUUGCUUCCUGCCAGUGCAAAUAAAUCAAGUGUAAACCUUUACUUUUUAACCAAAUUGUGGAAAAUGGAACAGGUUUAAUGAUAAGGAACUGUCUUAAUGGGGCACUGUAUUCUUGAGGUGAUUGGCUAAGGAGAGACUCUCCGAUUUAUCCCUGAACUACCAAAAGUAACAGACCUGCUCUCCAAUUUGCUGCCCCCCCAACCCAGCUGCUCUGGAUUUAAGUAAAUGAAGUUUCUCAAGUCUUAAAGUUGGAAGGUAUCUCAGUGAUCUAAGCAAUGAGGCCUUAAAAAGACUUUGGGUGUAAAUCAAAAAUUUCUAACUGCCUUGCUCUGAGAUGUCAGGAAGGUCACUUAUCGACUUUGGAUACCUUAAUCUUACCAACUACAAAAAUGGUAUGAUGCAUGAUGAACAUAACCUGACUUUAGAGAGUGUUAGUGAGGAAAUAACGUGUUAGAUGAUCUUUUUCUGCCUAAAUGAAAAAAAAAUGUAUAUUGAGUAUUACCUUUCAAGUAACUUGGACAAAGUCCAGGGAUUGUGUGUGUGUGUGUGUGUGUGUGUGCGCCUGAAGUUCAAGUAUUUGUAAAGGUUUCCAGCACACAGUAUCUUUAAGAAACAGAGAAAAGAGUUUUAUCAAAAUAAUGCUUUUCAUCAGUGGCAGGUGAGCAAGAUUUAGGACUUUCAGAUCUCCCAUGUCUUAUCUUGACAAUUUAUGUUUUAACUGAGUUUCAACAUUGGCUCUCAGGGUCAGAAACAAUUCCAGAAGAUAAAGGAGAACGAGGAAGCCAAUUUUUAAUAAAUGUUCAGAGAGUAAAAAGAAAUAAUCAAAAUGGUAUACAUUGCAGAGGGCACAUGGUCUAUGAAGAAAUAGCUUUGGGUAAAACAGAACAGGACGAAGCUUCAAAGUGUCUUCUGCCUGUUAGUCCCAUUAGUGUUCUAGUGAUUUCUCAGAGAUUGAUUAUCUCUGGGGAACUGUGUUACAUCAACCCUCAAACUGUUUUUCCAAACCUAUUAGGCCCAGCAAACAUUCUGCACUGUUGGGAUAAUGGGCUUUUGUGCCAUAUUUACCCAUAUUCCUUCAGCUUGUUUCCCAUCCUCCCCAGACCCAGUCAGGGGCAGAAAGAUGCCUCCAUUCCUAGUAGUUUGUGGGAUUCCCACUCAUAACCCUUUGAGUGGGCAAAAGAAACUCAGAAUGGAGAGGCAGCAUCUACCCAGGUUAUCUUUAGGUUGGCUAGCCAAUUCUUCAAGUGGCUUUUGAUGUUUAUUUAGAUUUUCAUGGGGAGAUACACUGUCCCCAUUCAAAAUGGCCCUUUUUAUUAGAAAUAUAUAGAAUAUAUUAGAAGUAUAUAGUAUAUAUUAGAAGUACAUACUUAAGGAGCAUCAAAAGUGAGGGGAAAAAUAGCAUCUCUUGAAGUCUCUUUCUUUGUCUAGUUUGGCGGGCAAAGGAGUUUGCCAAUUGCUAACUUUAUAAAUAACCUCACAGUUUCAGUUUUGUCAUAUGUAAAAUGGCAAUAAUAAUAAUGCAUCCUUCAUAGGGGAGUUAGGAGAAUUAAAUGGGUUAGUUAUUUGGUAAAUGCUUAGCACUGUGCCUGCCUGACAUCAUAGAAGGCAUGCAAUAAAAGUUAGCUAAAGUUAUGUUAAUUUUCAAAUGGUAAGAAUUAAUAGGCAUAUUGUAAAUUGAUAUUAAGAAGGAAUAAGAUGCAUAUUUGGGAAAAGUGGGGGUCCAGGAGAGUAGCUAACAGCAUUUUGAAUGUGGGAAUAUGCAGGAUGUGAGCACAUCUUUGUACUUAAGGUCUACAUCCUCCUUGCCACAGAAACUACUUACAUCAGACAUAGCAAGAGAAAAAGGAUAGUGUGAGCAUAGUACAAAGGGGCUACCCAUAAGUCUAUGAUACUCAACCUUUUAAUAUCAUCCUCAGUCACUUCAUUCAUUGAUCCCAAUUUAUCACCCAACUUGUGCUAUACAUUGAUGUUAUAGAUAAAAACAAUCCACUCUUUACCCUUAAGAAAGCUGAGGGAGGAGAUGAGCAAGUAACCAGACAAUUAGACAAGUUCUUGAAUGAUCAGGAAGAAUGAGGUGUACUGGGAAGGCUUCUUGGAGGAGUUGAUAACUGAGAUUAGAUGAGUAAGAGUUAUUUAGCAAUAGGAUAAGAGAUUUUCAGGUAGAGGUUCCUGUAUGUGCAGAGGCAUGGAUGACAGAGCACUGUGUAUGCUAUAUCCUGUCUGCUAAUUUCAACAUCUCAGUCAUCUCGUGGCUCUUCUCCAUUGAUUGCCUUUUCUCUUAAGUAAGGAAUUUUGGAUUAUGUGUCUAGCAAUUUUGGAUUAUUUUCUGGACAUUGUCAGUGAUACAUUGUAGAGCCUAUGGAUUCUAUUCCUCUCAAGAAUGUUAAUUUUUUUAUUUUAGCAGGUAUUGAAUAUUUUUUAAAUUUACAUCCAAAUUAGUUAGCAUAUAGUGCAACAAUGAUUUCAGGAGUAGAUUCCUUAAUGCCCCUUACCCAUUUAGCCCAUCCCCCCUCCCACAACCCCUCCAGUAACCCUCUGUUUGUUCUCCAUAUUUAAGAGUCUCUUAUGUUUUGUCCCCCUCCCUGUUUUUCUAUUAUUUUUGCUUCCCUUCCCUUAUGUUCAUCUGUUCUGUGUCUUAAAGUGCUCAUAUGAGUGAAGUCAUAUGAUAUUUGUCUUUCUCUGACUGGCUAAUUUCGCUUAGCAUAAUACCAUCUAGUUCUGUACAUGUAGUUGCAAAUGGCAAGAUUUCAUUCUCUUUGAUUGCUGAGUAAUACUCCAUUGAAUACAUACACCACAUCUUAUUUAUCCAUUCAUCCAUCGAUGGACAUUUGGGCUCUUUCCAUACUUUGGCUAUUGUUAAUAGUGCUGCUAUAUACACUGGGGUGCACGUGCCCCUUUGAAACAGCAUACCUGUAUCCCUUGGAUAAAUACCCAGUAGUGCAAUUGCUGAGUCAUAGGGUAGUUCUAUUUUUAAUUUUUUGAGGAACCUUCAUACUGUUUUCCAGAGUGGCUGCACCAAUUUGCAUUCCCACCAGCAGUGCAAAAGAGACCCUCUUUCUCUGCAUCCUCGUUAACAUCUGUUGUUGCCGGAGUUGUUAAUGGUAGCCAUUCUGAAAGGUGUGAGGUGGAAUCUCAUUGUGGUUUUGAUUUGUAUUUACCUGAUGAUGAGUGAGUGAUGUUGAGCAUCUUUUCAUGUGUCAGUUGGCCCUCUGGAUGUCUUCUUUGCAGAAGUGUCUAUUCAUGUCUUUUGCCCAUGUCUUCACUGGAUUAUUUGUUUUUUGGGUGUUGAGUUUGAUAAGUUCUUUAUAGAUUUUGGAUACUAAGACUUUAUCUGAUAUAUCAUUUGCAUUUGUCAUCUUCUCCCAUUAUGUCGGUUGCCUUUUAGUUUUGCUGAUUGUUUCCUUUGCCGUGCAGAAGUUUUUGUUUUGAUGAGGUCCCAAUAGUUCAUUUUUGCUUUUGUUUCCCUUGCCUCUGGAGAUGUGUUGAGUAAAAAGUUGCUGUAGCCAAGAUCAAAGAGGUUUUUUCCUGCUUUCUCCUCUAGGAUUUUGAUGGCUUCCUGUCUUACAUUUAGGUCUUUUAUCCAUUUUGAGUUUAUUUUUGUGUAUGGUGUAAGAAAGUGGUCCAGGUUCAUUCUUCUGCACGAUGCUGUCGUUUUCCCAGCACCACUUGCCAAAAAAACUGUCUUUAUUCCAUUAGUUAUUCUUUCCUACUUUGUCAAAGAUUAGUUGGCCAUACAUUUGUGGGUCCAUUUCUGGGUUCUCUAUUCUGUUCCAUUGAUCUGAGUGUCUGUUUUUGUGCCAGUACCAUACUGUCUUGAUGAUUACAGCUUUGUAAUAUGGCUUGAAGUCUGGGAUUGUGAUGCCUCCUGCUUUGGUUUUCUUUUUCAAGACUGCUUUGGCUAUUUGGGGUCUUUUAUGAUUCCAUACAAGUUUUAGGAUUGUUUGUUCUAGCUCUGUGAAGAAUGCUGGUGUUAUUUUGAUAGGGAUCACCUUGAAUAUAUAGAUUGUUUUGGACAGUAUUGACAUUUUAACAAUUUAGCAGAUAUUGAAUUUGACUGAACUCAAACAUCAAACUCCACUUUCUCUGUAGUGGGCAGAAACUUAAAUCUCUGAUCAGUUCUAUUAAACUUAGCUGGGUUGUUUAGAAUCUGUCCCAUGCAUGUAUAGCUUAAGAGUCAGCUAGAGAUUUGGAUGGAAUUUAUAUAUAGAAUUUAGAGUUCCAUUCUGAGGCUCUCUCCUUUUUGGUAUUUCUUCUCUCAUUUUUCAGCUGCCUCAACUCCAUCUUCUGAUUCUGCAGGUAUCUAUCUAGUUUGUAGCCACUUCACAGGGUGCUUAUUGGGGCCGCCUCUCAAGCAAAAAGUUGCAAAGACCAGAAAACUUGUCCAGGGCUCCCUUUACCCAGUUUCUGCCUGCUUUUGGUUGCCCUCUAGUGCACACAAAUAGUUAUUUUUGAUAUUUUAUUAGAUAAUAGUUAUGCAGAAAGGAUUGGUCCAAUAUAAGCUACUUAACAUAUUGGAAGCAAAACAUUCACAUGGAUAUUUCAAGAACUUCAAGCUGUUCAGUAUGGUUGGAAGGGAGUGUGUGUGUGUGUGUGUGUGUGUGUGUGUGUGUGUGUGUAUGUAUUGUAGGGGACUGGAAGGAUAUAUAGCUUGGAGAAAGGCAGAGGCCAGGUCAUCAAGAGCCUUGUGUGUAACACUCAGGAAUUUGAGCUUUAGCCUGAAGGAUGUGAUGAAGAGCUUUAAUUAGAAGAGUAAAAUGAUCAGAAUUGUGUCUCAGGAACAUGGCUUGACAUCUGUUUGAAGGAUGAGCCAGAAGAGGUAGGAAGAUAGUUAGGAGGCUAAUGGGUAAAACAGAGUUCAGUUUUCUCCUUUGCAAGAUGAGGGGUUGAGCUAGCUGAUCAUUAAUGUCUUUUAGCUUUAAUAUUAUGAUUUUCCCACUAAUGUCCUUAUUUGGCCUUCCUGGAGCUGGGGUUCCUAUAAGGCUGUGUUUUGCAGAGCACUAUACACAGUCCUAUGAUCCCAGACUUUAGAUGAUGCCAACAGAGAAAAAUAUACUUGGUGGUGUUCUUUGGUUUAUGAAUACAUUAAGGCAAUGGGGUCACAAAGCAACACACACAAAUGUACCAUAGGUGGUUAACAACCUUUGAAUUUCUCUGUCUCUCUCUUACCUCCUGCAUCACAACAGGCAUUUGGUUAUUCCAUGUUAUCUUAAAUGGCCUACUAUUAAUCUGAAUUUGACUUUUUAAGUUCUCAAAGAGAAGGAAAUGGGCCUAUUAGUAACCCUGGGACAUAUUGCAGUUGGGGUGCCCAGAUUGGGAACAGUGGGAAUAUACCCUAUCAUAGUUUUCUGAGAGCCUCCGGAAAUGCUGAUAGCAGUAUGAUGGACGUACUGGAUUUUAUCCUUUCCUGGUUCUGGCCUAAUAGGAAAGUGAGGCUUCCCUGAGCCUCAGAAUGUUCUGCAUCUUCUAAAGCCUCUUGGAGAGCAAAGAGCUCUUUUGUGUCAGAUUGUGAUGGCAUGCUGAAAAGCAACAUCAGCCCUUGCUCAGGAGGGCAGUCCAGAGUCCAGUAGGCUACCUUCAUCAUGACACAGUUUUAUGUGCUUUGCCUUAGUAGGAGCUCAGGCCUUUUAGUUCUUAAAGCUGGCUGAGUAUACUAUCCUUGGUAAAUCAAUCCUACAUUCAGUACAAGAAACACCAGGCUUUAGGAGUUAUAGAGGCAACAAUGUAAUUCUUGGAUGGUGUUUCUUACAUGAAACUGUAAACAAGGCUUUCUUCUUAGGAUUUCAAGACCUGGUACAGAGAUUCGUGAAUUACCUUCCUGACUUUUUACUUUGAGGAAUGCCAUUUUAGUCAGAGUUGACUAAAUGAUAAAAUCAUUUAGAGCCUAUAUGGCUCUAAAAUUUUUCUAUGAUCUGUUUCCAGCCUGGAGUGUAUGAGUGUAUUAGCUCACUUAUUUACUAGGCACCUGGGGUUGACCUGGGGAAAUUCUAGUGAUUAAGAUGCAGUCCUUGUUCUCAGAGAGACCCUAGGCUAAGUAUCUGACAUGGCCCCUCCUUGACUGCUUGGCUUUCUACUCUGCAAACUGAGCUUAUGAACAUGGUGUGCCUUUCCAUGGUGGUUCUCUCUUUUCUAUCACACUGUGGCCACUGAAUUGGAUUUGGUGAAAAUAUCAGGAAGUGAAAUAAUGUGCUUGUGGCAUAGAUGUUCAAAUUUGGCCACACAUGACAUUUUGCCAACUUCUAUUAUAUCUAUUAUGGUAUAAUCUGGCCAGUGUUUGGAUUUGAGGGUGCUGUGGGGCUCACUCCAAGUUCAUCUCCUAUUUCUCUGCCUCUGUGCCUAAGUUUCUGCCAUUGGUGUAACUCAUCACAUUAUCAUGGGCUAUCCCAUGGGUUAUCAUGGAUGAAGGCAUAUUCUACUGGAAGAAGUUGAUUGGGGAAGCACUUGACUUAUUUAUGAUGUUCCAUCUGAGAUCUGUGGAUGGCAGCAGUGGGAGGUGGGGAUGAGUUUCAGGGGUUGAGAGAAAGUGAGUCAAAAGAGCGUGGAAUAGGCAGAAAUAGGAAUUCUCCCCUGUUGCAGUUUUGGCAGGUUCUCGGCAUAUAUAUAAUUUUUUUUUUAACUUUUAUCUCAAGCAUAUAAUAGAUGAUCAGACAAUGAAAUCUCAGGCUCAGCCUUGGCUGGCAGUUAGAUCUGUGAAUCUCAGCCCCUAUUUAAGUCUAGUCAGGACUGAGUCAUUACAGGGUGCCUUGCAUAUUCACAUAGUGGGAUUUUUGCUCAGUCUCAUUCAUUUUAAUAUGGCUUCAGCAUAACCAGGUCUAUGAGGAAUGAGGUAUCCUUCCCAAUAUGGGGAUAAGCCCUCUGCUCUGAGGUACCUGCUGAUUUAGAUCAGACCCUGUUUUUAGAGGGAAAAGUCUAUUUUAGAAUAGGAGGGACAGAGGAGCUCAGCCAUGACCUAAGGGAAGAGAGGGACUGAGCUAUCCUACCCCUUCAUGUAUGGUUGACUCAGCCAAGUUUGACUGCAAGAAUGGGUCUUGGCCCAGGAUGGAGAGUAUCCAUUAAUGAGGCAAGUGGCUUCAAGAAGAUCAAAAUAAUUAGUCAGUUUUCACUGCUGCAGUGAGUCACCAUCUUGAAGACAUUAUGUUCCAACUUAAGAGUUAGGAAGCUGAGGUAGAAGAUGCCUAGUUCCUCCUCCCCAGGGAAUGCCAAGUGUGUCUGAGGGCUGGUGGAGAACGGAUGAGGAUCCAGUUCUUUUCUGCUGCCUGCGCUUUUGCUUCCUUCUUGCCUUCAGUGGGAAGGAAUGUGAGAGGGACAGUGCAUUCGAGUCUGAGGUGAGUUGGAACGGACUCAUUAGGGGCAGAUGAGUGGUCUAGCAGAAAGCAAUGUAUCUAACACUGCUACCCAGGACCCUGGGGACUAGAGAGAUCUCACCAGGCCUGCAGGGGUUCCUGAGUGGCAUAUUGGUAGGCCUGGCUUUCCAAACCUCACUGUUUGAGAGGGAUAAAUAUUCCCCUUGGAGGCAGGGAGAAGGGCUGAUGGUGUCUGCAUCUGGAAUUCUCCAUCUGUGUGACUCAUGCAGCCCGUAGAAUGCCCUGUAGCAGGGAGAGACAGCUCGCACCCUGUGGUUACUUUACAGUACAUGGCUUUCCAAGUACUGGGUUGGAUUACUGAGAAGUCUUUUCCCUGGGGCAUCCCCAUAUAGGUGAGGUGGAUGUCAGUCUGGAAAGCUGAUUCACAUAUUCUCUAAAAGGCAGGCAGGAGCAGCAUGACCUGUCAGGGUAAUAAGUUCUAUAGCUGUGUGGCCAGAGCUAGAAGUGUGUCCACAGAACAGAAAUUCCUUUGGAACUGAGCAGGAUGUCUCCCUUAGAGACUGAACCCUUGAUCUUUAUUUUCAAGAGUCCCCCACUGCAGCUGACUUGCAAAUGAGAGGCUGAGACAAGAGACGGCUAGGCUUAGGGCAUAACAUCACCUCUGUAGGAAGGAGGAGUCAAAGUGUACAUUCCCCUCCCAUCACAGAGUGAUGGGCACCCUGCACAGAAAGUCUGUCAAGAAGAGUCUAGUAGGAGAACUCAGACAGAUGGGGCUCUGUUAGGUUCUGCCACUUUCUGGAUAAGUGACCUUCGGGACACCACUUAAACUCUUUGAACUGUCUUUCUACCCCUCCCUCUGUCCCUCCUUUCCUUUUGAGUGCCUACUAGGGGUUAUAAGUGCUCAAAAUGCAGUGGGAAGUAAUAUAACAAGGCUGAUGCUCUAUAAGAGAGUGACAGAAAUGAGGUAAACAACUAAAUAAGUAAGACUAUUUUAAAUCCUGGUAAGUGCUUUGAAAAAAAAAAGUAAUGGGGUGGAUGGUGCAGUGGAGGGGGGUGUGGCUACUUCUGGGGGGUAGCAUGGAAGGCCUCCCUAAGGUAAUGCUCUUUGGGCCUUUUAUUAAUAGGCCUGAGAGAAAGGCCAUUAAAAAAAGAAGGAACAGGAAACGCAGUGGCCCUGAGAUGGGAAGGCCCGUAGGCAGAUGGCCAUGAUGCCCUAAGUGGGCACAGAGCCUGGUCUCUGAAUCCCAAUGUGAAGGAAAGCUUAUCUGGAAUUACUGUGAGCAAGAAAUAAACUUAAAUUGUGUUGAGCCACCUACAUGUUGGUGUGUAUUAUAGCAAUUAGUGCCACCCUAAUGAAUACAGUAUAAACCAUUGCAUCUAGUGGUGCAGAGGGCCUGAAGCAAAUGUGGAACUUGAACACAGAAAGGAAAGCCAAUUAUCACCUCAGCAACAGGAGGGUGUUCACCUCUCUCUCCUUGUAGUCUGAGCCAGAGGCUCUGUCUUGCUGUAAUGUCAGUUCAAAAGGCAGCAUUUCCAGACUGUUGUCACGUCACCGGGAGCCCUUGGUCCUCUAAUUAAGCAGUAAUGUGCUUGUCCAAUAAAUACCAUAUGGUUGCAAUGAAUCAAGACCAAAUUAUCAUAGCUUUAAAAAUUAAUAUUAUUAAUGUUGAUAAUAAAAUCUUACAAUUUUAUGUCAUGUUUUUCUUCUGAAGAGCUCAAUAUGCAAGUAUUAAAAUAUAUGUCCAAAUAUCAUACCAACUGUGCCUUAGGAAGAGGUGAAGACCCACAGAAAAGUUGGAAAGAUGACUUCAUACUUUAAAAUAAGGCUCACUUCUUUCACCUAUCUCUGACCCCAUAAAGAUAGCUAAUCUUUUCUAGCAAUAAACCAGAAUUGUGUGAUAGAAUUAGGAAAAUGGGAUUAUCUUCAUGUCACGGUAAGGAGAUGAAGCACAAAUAAGGGGCUGGAGUGAAUUAGAUACUACAAAAUGUCAAGAUGGGAGAAACUAGAGUAGACUUGCCCUCAUGAACCUGGACUAUUGAGAGAGGAUAUGGGGUGGGGUCAGGGAGCAUGGGAAGGAGAACUGGCCAGCUUUGGCCAGUGCCUUACUGGCCUGGAAGUGGCAGGUGACUGCAGAAUUGAUGAGGAGCCAAGGGAGGGAUUUAUCAGGAAGCACUGAGUUCUGAAUGGUGGGCAUACUUGAGGACAGGAGACUAGCCUCCAUCUAAGAGGGAGAACAGGGCUUACCCUAAGGGAGGUUAAAUGAUGGAUUGAUAAUGUGUCCAGGGAGUUCUCUUACUUAUGAGUGACAAAAGUUUAAGAGUUUCUGUGUUUGGCUCUAACCCAGAUCCAUUUCUUCACUGAACUCAGAGAUGCCAUGGGAUAACCCAGGGGAGUUGGGGGAAAGUAGGCAUUUACAUCUGAGGGGGUAGUUAAGAAAGAGUUAUGAGCCACAGGAUUCAAACAAGUUGCUAAGGACACCAUGGAGACCAUUACUUGGUCAGUUCUCCAUUUCUAGGAAGGCCCAUAACCAUAAACCAAAAUUCAUUAGUCUCUUAUUCAACAGGAAUUAAUUAAUUGGCUAUAUGUGCUUCUCCUACCCUGGAGGAGCUUAUAAUUAAGAUGAUCAUACAAUGUAUUAGCCAAACAAAGACACAUUUGAGAAAGAAAGGGGACACUAUUAAUAAUUAUAUGGGGACAGCAGGCACACACAAAGGUGGCUCAGGAAAACUGGGAUAUAUGGAGACCCGACUUCUGAGAUAUCACUCCAUUCACACCGAGGUACAGUGAGAUGCAUGCUCCAUGAGCAGUGCAUGUUUCCACCCAUGUCCUCAUCUUCUGCCAAGAAUGGGACUCCUUUCCUGCCUGCCUGAGCCCAUUCUUCUUACUGUCAAGACUCAGCUGAAGCCCUCCCCCCACCCCCCACCACUCUAGCCACUGACUAGGUUUGUGACUUUGGACAAAUUACUUAACCAGUACUCAAAUUCUGUCAGUAAAAUGGGGAUAACAAGAAUACCUGUUUUGCAGGGUUGUGGUGAAGAUGAAUGAGUUAAUAUAGAUUUACACUAGAAUGCUGCCUGACAUAAAGUAAGCACCACAUACAUACUGGUUACUAUUAUGAUUGGCUUUGUGACAGCGGAUAACUUACCCAAUGUCUCUGCACUUUAGUUUCCUCAUCUGGGAAACAGGGACAGGAAUACCUACCUUUUAUGGACUUGGAAUUCAAUAAAAUAUAGCCCCCCUCUUCCUUAGAAUAAGCAGCAGACAUUGUCCACAGAUUUAUUGCAUAAUAUAUUUAGAUGUGGUUAAAGAACAUUUACUGAAUGGACAGGGGGGUUGCCCAAGAGGAAGGAAGCAAAUAGGGAGAGGGAUGUGUGGCCUUCAUGGAAAGGGUAGGCAGGAACCCAGAUAAGCGGAUUGCUAAUCUUCUUAGCACCCCCAGGCAAGAAAGAAGACUCUAGAAGUCACGAGAUGGGCUGGCCUUUUUCUCAGGAUAAAAACCAGAGGAGCUUUCUUUAAACUAGAGAGGCAAGGCACGUAGCUACAUCCAAAGUCAGAAAAUGACCAGCUUUUUUUGCUUCUAGUAUUUGACCUCCAUUCAGAACUGAUGGGAGGCACAGAACUAUUCUAAGUACUUUGAAUUAUUAUUUAUUUACUUCAUUAAAUUCAUCUAUAAAACAGCAACUUAUAUUUUUUAGAAAUGGCUUUAUCAUGGAAAAUUUCAAACAUAAUCAGAGACUUGUACAAUCAUUUCCCAUGUAUCCAUCUCUCAGCUUCAGCUCCAUAGUUAUCAACACCUGUCAAGUUAGUUUUCUUGUUUCCCUCAAGACAUUUUAUCUCAGAUAUUUGAAAGCAAAUUCAUCAUCAUAUAUACAGAUGGUCCUUGACUUAUGAUGAUUUGACUUGUAAUUUUUCGACUUUACAAUGGUACAGUAGUAGAAUCAGUAGAAACCAUACAUCAAACUUUGAAUUUGGAUCUUUUCCCAGGCUAGCAAUAUGCAGUACUAUACUCUCCCAUGAUGCCUGGUGGUGGCCAUGAGCCACAGCUCCCAGUCAGCCCUGUGAUCACAGGGCCAGUAACUGAUACAUUUACAACCAUUCUAUACCCAUGAAAACAUGCUGUUUUUCACUUUCAGUACAGUGUUCAAUAUAUUACAUGAUAUAUUCAUUAUUUUAUUUUAAAAUAGGCUUUGCAUUAGAUAAUUUUGCCCAACCAUAGGCUAGCGGACAUGUUCUGAGCAAGGUGGGCUAGGCUAAGCUAUGAUGUUUGAUAGGUUAGGUAUAGCAAAUACAUUUUCAACUUAUGAUAUUUUCAGCAUACAGGUUUAUUAGGACAUAACCCCAUCAUAAGUUGAGGAAGAUCUGUAAUUUCCUCUAAAUACUUCAGUGUGUAUCUUCUACAGAUAAAGACUUAAAAAACCCCAAAUAUCUGAAUCACCCCAGACAACAAUAACACCAACAAAACUCAGUAAAUCCUUAAUAACAUCUGAUACUCAGUUCAUAUUUAAAUUUUCCUUAUUAUCUAAAAAAAAAAAAAAAACCUUUUCCCAUUUGGUUUGAAUCAAGAUCCUAAUAAGGUCCACACAUUACAUUGACUUGUAUGUCCUAAAUCUCUUUUUGUUAACGAUUGCCCCCUCUCCUCUUUUGAAUGUCAUUUGUUUGUUGAAGAAACUGGGUCAGCUGUCCUGCAGAAUGUCCCACAUUUUGAUUUGGCUGACUACUUCCUCAUUUUGUCAUUUAAUUUGUUCCUUUACCCUCCUAUUUCUUGUAACCUAGAAGCUAGAUUCACGCUCCAUUUGUUUUGGAGGGAAGGUCAAGGGUAUUCUUGUUGGGGCUAUGCACUUCCUGUUGUAGUACAUCAGCGUCACUUGUAGUGAUUCUAGGACUUUUGAGGGGGCUCAGGAAUUGAUUGUCAGACUGUUCUCUCUAUUACGGAGCUCCCCAUCAACUUUUCACAUUGUGAUUUUAGCAUCCAGUGAUGACCGUUGCCCAUACCUGUUAUUCACUAGGACUUGUAAAAUGUUCAUUUUUUAUUCCAUCACUCCUUUGCACUUACUAGCUGGAAGUCUUUUAUAAAGAACUACACUCCCUCAUCAUUUAUUUGGUUUUCCUGAAAUACAGUUUGAUAGAAAAAGCAGGAUAAGUGCUUUCCUAUCAUUUGUCAACUUUUGGAAUAAUGAGUUGGUGCCCUAGCAAAGAAGGAUAGAUCUUUCAUGAAUUAAUUAAUUAAACAACUAUUUAUUGAGUUGCUGUUGUAUGUUAAGCAUUGUUAUAACUCCUGAUGUGAACAAUUUUUUGUUCAUCAGUGAACAAAACGGACACAACUCUGCUUUCUUGGAACUUACAUUCUGGUGGGAGAAGACAAAUAAUAACCAAACCAGUAAGUUGAUAUAUUGUGUUAGGUGAUGACAAGGGAUAUGGAGAAAAAUAAAGCAGGGCAGGGGUAUAGGGAGUGCUGGAGGGAGUGGGAGUUGGGUUUGCAAUUUUAAAUAAGGUCAGGAAGGCUCAUGAGAAGGUGACAUUUAAACAAAAACCUGAAGAGGGUGAAAGCAUGAGCCAUAUACAUUGUCGGAGAGGAGCAUUCCAGGCAGAGGGUCUUAAGGUGGGGACCGUGCCUACAGUAUUUGAGGAAUAACAAAGAGGCCAGUGUGGCUGGUGUGAGUGAAUGAAGGGGAAGUCAGUAAGAGAUGAGGUCAGAAAGGUGGGAGAGAGGGCUGACCAAGUAGGGCCUAGUAGACAUUGGAUUUCCCUUUGAAUGAACUAAGCAGCCACUGAAGGGUUUUGAGCAGAGGCAUAUGAUGUGACUCCUGAUGGAGUAGUCAGGUAAGGGUGGAACCGAGUUUAGAUUUAAAAGUAGAAAGCUUCUUUUCUUGCCAGCUAGUACUGGCAAGGUGGACAGAAGGUGUUUCAUCUGUUUGGAGGGGAAUUCUGCAUCUGGUUAGUAGUUGGACUAUAGGAAAUACUGUCUCUUAAUCUAUCCUUUUAAGUUCCUAGGUUUAACAUUUUCCUUGGCACUGUUGAGCACUUCAUAACAUAAAAUUCCAGGGCAGAAACCUUCCUCUUUCACCCUCCACACAGAAUGACUAUAUGUCCAUCAUCCCAGAGAAAUCGAAUUCCAUCUUACUCUAAAAUUAUGAUACAGGGGAAAAUGCCACCACUUGACCCAUCUCCUUUUGUUCUUGGUUACAAGUCUGUCAGCACAUUUUCACCAUCUCUAAAGAAUUGGUGUUGGCUAACCAGUGGGGAUUCCUGGUGAUUCUAGAGGUAGGUCAGUGUUUGUGGCGGCAGAGACCAUCCAUCUGUCCAGGGGUUACCACUUUAAGCAUGGUGAGGGGCACACUUUUCCUUCCAGAGUUUCCCAGUCAGCUUGGAGCACACCUUUUCAUCCAUGCCGCCUUCUCAGCAUCCAGAGAGCCUUUUUGUGGAUGAGCAUCUGUCUUUGCCUGUAACUCCUGCCUGUCAUAGGCUGUUAGGAAUUUAUGGGUGCUUAGCAACCAGGAGAGGAUACAAUACAAGCAGCCUGAAUACAAUACAAGCUAUGCCUGUCAAGUAGCUGUUCCCUCUCUCAUCUUCUGCUCUGGGUUUGUAUGUGAAAUAAAAGAAGAGACAGAGACACUCAAUGUCAACUUAAACAGUGGCUUUUUUUUAAUUAAAAAAAUUUUAAAUGGAAUCUAGUUCAAGCACACCUUGCCUCAAAGAAAGCUUGCAAGCAUCCCUUCUCAUCAUUCUGUGUCAUCAUUCCAGGUGGUUCUCUGUAACCUUCUGAGGUUUUUUCCCCACAGGCCUACUUCUUGGUAGGUACACCAAGGGAAGCAAGGGGGUGGGAGGAGGCCAGGCCUCUCCACAAUGCAAGGUUCUUCUCAAGCUGCAGGUUCUGAAGAGGAUAAAGAAGGACAUAAUGAGGGGAGAAAAUUUUCCAAAGAAGGGACAUAACUUAGAAUGGUCUCUGUGCCUCUUAUUGAAAGGAAAAUUGCUGGCUAGGGGAGUGGCAAAAUAUUUCAAAUGAAUGACCAUCCUUGGUAGUGGCCAAUACACAGCAAUGUGACAGGACAGGAAAUGGAGCUCUCAGGCCAGGAGGCUUCAAGAGGAGCCAGGGGCUUGUGGGAAGGGAGGGGAAUGCUACAGAGCUUGCUGUCUGCAAGGGGUCAUACACUGUUAGCUGCAAUUCUUAAAAAUACCUGUAGGAGGCAUGAACCUUCUUUUUUGCACAGAUGAACCUAACUCAGAAUUGCUGCUGCAUGUGAGGUUAUGUGCUGCAGACAGUCCAAGUCUACAUAAGGCUUGACAAAGGAUCUAAGUGAUUGCCUUGUAGUGUCAAGGCAUCCGUGUCUGAAGAGCUGGAUGCUAAGACCUAGAGUUUGGCCCCCUUCCAAGGUUGUCAUAAAAGGCUCCUGGAAAAUGCCCUUCUUUCCUGACUCCUGGGCAGACUCUGCCACUUUCUUCAUGACCUGGUUCCCACCAUGGAGUUUUUGGGGCUGUGUGAGUACGAGAGUUUUGGACCUAUGGGUGUGUUCUUUUUUUUUUUCAGAUGAAUUGCACAUCCCCUGAGAGGAAAACAAAAAGGUAGAAGUAAGGGGAGUCUUUUUGUGGUGAGAACAACAUAAUGCUUAUUUAAUUCAUUAAACAAGCAUUAAAACGAAUGUUUGAAAACUUGAAAUCCAAAGUCUUUUUUUAUAAUCUGAGUGUCCUCUUGUAUCUCCAGUUGUUCAUGGUCUUUACAGGCAUGGGGGCACAGCACAGAAGUUAGAGGGUGAUGUAUUGCCAAAGAUGAAGCAUUCCCUGGGCCUACCGAUGAUGGUAGGUUUUAGUGAAUUCAUGGUUUUGGCCAGAUUUUUGACCCAGUGAGCUGUCUGAUGAAGGGAAAGUACACAAACUUAUUAGUGAAGUCAGCACCUUGGACCCAUAGACUCUUUAAGGUUAGCAGGACCUCUGAGGUCAUCUAGCCCAUUGCCCCAUUGAAUGCUUGAUUAGUAAUUGAUGCAAAAACUCCAGGUUCUGCAUUCCAAAGGUUGACCCAGGCCCAUAUUAUUGGUUUAGAAUAUUAUCAUAAUUAAUGGAAUGCUGCUAGAAUAUUGGCUUCAGACCUGAAUUCACAAAUUGGAAGAGAUUCAGCAGUAAAAAUAUCCAGAGGAAGCAACAGACAUUAGUAAAGUUAGAAAGUAGACACAGUGAGAAAAGAGUAAGUUCAGUAGGUUCGAAGGAACAAAGUUUCAGAAUAAUGAUCACAAAUAAGUAUUCAGUAGUUAAAUAAAAAUACCCUUGGCCCACACUUACUUGAUGUGAACCUUCUUUCAGGAGGAGUUCUUGCCUUCCUGCCUUUGGUUUCUUCACCCUCUGAACCACUGGACACACAAUUACUGGAGUCAUCUGCUGAGAGUCUUCUUCCUCUGCAUUUGUUCUCUCCAAGAAUGAAACUUUCAUGGGUUCUCUUUGUCUAAUUGGAGAAAAUUAGAGCUUUUUACACUUGCCUUUCAAGGCUCCACCCUUCUUUCUCCACCCUUUGAUAUAAGCUUUUGUUUGGGGCAGGUGGGUUCACCCACUGCCUCCUGAGCAGGCCUUACUCUGAGUCUUUGCUCAUGCUUGUUAGAAUGGGGAGCAUAUCUUAUAGUUCCUGUAACUUCCAUUAUUACCUACCGUGAGGUUGAGUACAUAGUAGAUGUAUGAAUGAAUAAAUGAAGCCUACAUUCUACAUAAGCAAACAUACAGGUAUGAGCACACACCCAUAUGUCUGUCUGCAUGCACAGAAACACCCCCUACUCCUAAGCACAGAUGGAGAUAGCCCCUAGCACCCCUCUUUUCUGGCACCUGGCAAAGGGCGAGGGGCCUAGAGAAGUAUAAACAUCAACCAGAGGGGACAGCAGUAAGAUACAGAAGCUCCAGUUCUUGUUUCUCUCUGGAGCCAGCAUCUGCUAGGAAGCCCAGCAGGUCUGAGUACUGGCAAGCCUGGCAUAGAGCCCUUCUCCUUUCAGAGGAAGCAAAAUGUCCUGGCAGGAUGAGUCAGUGGGAGAAUGGAACCAGAGAGUGAGUCACUUUGGGAGGAGAGGCUAAAGGAUCUUCUCUGCUCAAAGAUAUUUUAGUCUUGGUAGGUUUUUCCCAUUUCUCUUGUUUAGAUAUAAGUUUGGGACAUGUGAUUGCGGUGGGUAAGUUCUCAGAUGUAAUACAGAAAACUUCCCCUUGACUGUCUGGAGUGCUGCGUACUGGAACACUUUUGCAGUAAAGUAAGAGGUUAAGAGGGCUGGCUUUGGAGCCAGGCAAGCUGGGUCCUAAUCACAGCACAUCCCAGAAGCAACUAGGGACCUUGAGUGGGUGCUUGAGUCCCUUGAAGCCUACUUUUUAUCAUUUUUUAAAAUAAGGGUUUUUGCGAGUGUCAAAUGAGAUCACGUAUUCACUUAUUCCACAAGUAUUUGGCUGUCUAAUGUGUGUCUGGCACAUUGCUGGGUGCAGAGUACAUGGAAGUGAAUGCUGCAGAUUUGGACCCUGCCCUCUGUGGUCCAAGACACUUGCUGGGAGAGCCACCAUGAGGAGAGCCAUUUGUGUAGUACCUGUAGACAGGAAGUUCUCAGCCAAGACAGUGAUUACAACGAUCAUUACUAUUUCUUCAGUUUCCUCUAAACCAGCUCAUAUUUUUGCAUCUCAGUUUCUUCUAUAAAAUGUGGAGCUGAAUUAAAAUAAUCUCAAAGGGGAAUACCCCCAGCCUCUAGCCUUAAGUUGAAGUUUUGGAGCUCAUGCUUGUUAUUUGGAGAGUCUGUAAAAUACAAAUGAGAGGCAGCUGGAGGGAGCAGCAUCUAGGCCUUUAGUGUGGGAUGGAAUUAAGAUCAACAUGAUCACAAUAGACUGGUAUGGUCACAAUGGACUGGUAUGGUGACCUGAAGCAAACAGGAAGACAUUGGAGUCUGAUAUUUAGGCUCCCAAACUCAAUUGUUCAAAGACAUAGUGAAGGAGAGCAGACUUGAGAAUAGAGCACAUGAAAACAGUCCAGAAUGAAACUGGUACCUCGUCUGCCUUCUUGCUCCUCGAAGGCACAACCAUCUCAGGAGCUAUAGCAGAGAAGAGAAAGGGACCUUGCUUCACAUGAGGAAAGUGUCCUGCUGAACACCAUCCUUAGACCCUUAAUUUAAUCUAAAAAUGUUUUGUGUGUAAAGUACAAGCUCUGUUGUCUUCUGUAAGCAGAGGGUGAGGUGGGUGAGGUGAGGCCCAUGGAUAAAGGGCCAUAGGUCCUUAGAAUGCUCCGGGUCCCAGAGAUGAAGACAUCUGUCUGACAAAGUCCCCCAUGUCUCACAGUCCAAGACAGACUUCUCUUCUCCAUAAACAGAUGCUUUUAAGUGCCUGAUCAUAGAAGCCUAGGAAGUGGCUGUUUGUACUACCAAAGUUGUUUUUUUUUUUUUCUAUGCAGAUAAAAUCAUCAUGGGGAUCCUAUGAAAGGAGUAUGUCAAGUAUGUACCUGGAGUAUCUCCCCUGGAGUAUUUAGAAACUGACUUGAUUUCCACACUGAGUAUUGUUUAAAGUGAGACAUACAUAGUCUUUCCCUUAAAGUGACAUGCCUCUGAACUAUUAGGUCAGAGACCUAGUUAGGCUAUUAGGUCAGAGAAGCAACAGGCUAGUACCAAGAAGGUGGUGUAGGAUAUUAUGUCUGCAGUCCUGUCUCUGAGCUGUCCUCCCCCGUUGCCACCAAGUGCCAUGGUUACUGCCUUGUCUUCUUCCCCUCAGGGUAGCUCUUGCUCAGUGCUGAGGCCAUUCUUUGUUAGGGUCUGUGUCACCCACUGCAGGGUGUUUAGAAGCCUUGGCUUUCACCCCCACUUAAGUCCCCACCCAAGUAUGGUGACACCUGGAAGGACCUCUGCUCACCUCGAACCACCUCCUAAGGGGACAUAAUGCUCCUGGUUGAGAAGGUCCAUUCAACACAGAACCAACUAGAAAGUUAGAAUUCUGGGGCCUGACUUAGUCAUAUGUCUAAGCCUGUCUCUUCCUCUGUUUUUAGGGCAGUUUUCUGAAUCUAGAGAAGGAGGACAUUUCUUUCUGCUCACCUGGCUGCUGACAUUAUAGCUUCAGUCAGCAAACAAAUGAAAUAAACAUUGAUUAUCAUCCCCCCCUUCUCUCCACACACCCAUGGGGCGUUCACUCAUGCAUUAUGGAUGCAUUUUCACACCAAAGAGAUUGCUAAACAGAACCAAAGGGGGUAGUGUGGGGUAUUGUGACUGGAAGACCUUCACAGCAGGUUUUCUUCUUACCAAAUCUCAGGGCCCAGCGCCCCAGGCUCUGUUCUUCAAUGCCCAGGGGGGCUUGUGACGGCUGCACAACCACCACUUCAAAGCGGGAUGCAGGGUUAGGGAUGCUUGGCAGUUUCUUGGACAUCAUACAGCACUUGCAAAACAAAUUUGGUGAGUUAUGAAUGAAUCAGAACCAGACGAGUUAGUUACAUUUCUCUCAGAAUGCAUAUUUAAAACUUCUUACACACACACACACACA